AAUUGCUAGUAAUGGCAGGUCAGCAUACUGCCGUGAAUACGUUCCCGGGCCUUGUACACACCGCCCGUCACACCAUGAGAGUUGGGAAUACCCGAAGCCUGUGAGCUAACUUUUAGAGGCAGCAGUCGAAGGUAGAAUCAAUGAUUGGGGUGAAGUCGUAACAAGGUAAC
rnacentral:rRNA from 1 species